GCCGGUGUGAUGGAAUUGGCAGACGUGCUGGACUCAAAAUCCAGUGAUAGCAAUAUCGUGCGGGUUCGACCCCCGCCACCGGCACCA
rnacentral:tRNA from 2 species